UGUUCGGAUCGCGGCGACGUGGGCGGUUCGCUGCCCGCGACGUCGCGAGAAGUCCACUGAACCUUAUCAUUUAGAGGAAGGAGAAGUCGGAACAAGGUUUACGUAGGUGAACCUGCGGAAGGAUCAUU
rnacentral:rRNA from 1 species